rnacentral:lncRNA from 1 species
CCACGAAUGGCAGGCAGCGUCCAAAAUUCAACCCCGUAAAGCCAGCACCAGCCAAUAAAGCGCACGGAUGGAGGCCACGUGACAGCAGUGGGCCGGCCCUCCGGCUGAGCCCUGAUCUCUAUGGUUUCCGCGGCUCGCUAGAAGGAGUGCGGUCCACUGGAGGUCUCCCUACAUUCUUCCUCCAUUAUCUCACUGCCUCCGGUGGCUGCUGGGAUACCGGAGGACUCGGGUCCCGGCUCGACUCAGUCCUCCAGCCGCCCGGGGAAUACCUCUAGUUCUUCCCGGCCGCCGCCGCCUCCGCCCCGCCGCUUCCUCCUCCGCCUGCCGGCCUCCUUCGCCCCGCCCCGUCCGCGCAGCUCGUCCGGCCCGCCCGCAGGCCAGCUUCUCUCGGGAGCCUCCACCCAGGCGCAUGGCUCCAUGAAGCAAGAGGAGGAGGCAGAGCGCGAGAGAUCCCGUCCGCCCCAGCCGCGUCUGGGCCAGGAGAAAAGCAAAACCAUAUUCCUGCUGCUGUCAGUUUUGAUGCACUGAGAAAACUUCAGAGACCUAAGCUUUUUCCAGAGAAGAGAAGCUUUACUGGUGUUCCAGCCCUAAGGCUCAUAUGACAUUAACAGACAAGACACUUUUCAGAAAGACAGGCAACGUGUUGGACCUUCCGGAGCUUCUCAGAAGACAGAGGGUUUUCUUUUGAGGCUGUUGUACAGUGGCCUGAUUAUAGCUCACUGUAGCCUCGAAAUUCUGGGCCGAAAUGAUCCGCCUGCCUCAGCCUCCAAAGUAGCUGAGACUACAGACAAAUCAACUCAAUCAAAGAAACCAACUCAAAGAAAGAUGGGUCUACAUACAACAAAACUGAACAAAAUCUGCAAGAAGAGUGAUUCAUACAUGGGCUAUUGAGGCAACAUGAGAUGGACAUUAAUCGACUAAGUAAAAAACAGAUUUCUUGAAGAAUUAAUAAAGAACUUUUGUUUUGGAAGUUCUCUAUUGUUUAAAAUUAGCCAGAUGUGGUGGCCUGCACCUACAGUCCCAGCUACUCAGGAGGCUGAGGUGGAAGGAUCACUUGAG